GGUCUCUCCUCAUAACAGAAACAUCUCUGGCAGCGGAAUUCAAGACUGACGCAAGUUCUUAUUUGUCUACCUUUUAUUUUCAAGAUUCAGCAGAAGAAAAUAAAAACAGAAAUUUGAAUAUAAACAUAAUGGAAGAGUGUUAUAUUAAAGAAGUAGCGCUUAACCAUCAAAAGCACUGUAAAUAAUAAAGGAAGCACAUGUCGCAAACGGUGUUGUUAACGGAAGUUGCGUAAGGUGUCUUCCGGCGGAGAGGAGCCGCGUGUGAGAAAGCCGAGUUCGCGCCGAAAGAUCAUGGCGGCGCUGAAGCGUGUGGACGGGUCACGUGUGCCGUGGAGCUGCACUGCUGUAACCUGAACAAAUGUGAGAUUACAAACAUGAGAACAUGACAGCCACAUGCGUGUGUUAGUGUCUGCAUGUCCAUGAGGAGAACAUCUCAAAGAUCUCGUCAUCAGACCCGUGAUCUGGAGUCUUCGUGUCCAGAUGAACAGACGGUGAGGAAACAUCUCCAGGAUCAGCAGCCGCGUGGAGCACGGCGGUUCGAACCGGCGUAAAGUCAAUGCAUUUCUAAUGCAUGGUGCUGCUCUUAUUGUUGUCCCAACCUGCAUAUUUUGCCAUUUCAAGCACAGUUUCUAUUUUAUUCUAUUUUCUGUUAAUAAAGCUUCUG